AGGAUGAACGCUGGCGGCGUGCUUAACACAUGCAAGUCGAACGGUGAAAGAGAGCUUGCUCUCUGGAUCAGUGGCGAACGGGUGAGUAACACGUGAGUAACCUGCCCUUGACUCUGGGAUAAGCGUUGGAAACGACGUCUAAUACCGGAUACGACCUCCGAAGGCAUCUUCUGGAGGUGGAAAGAAUUUCGGUCAAGGAUGGACUCGCGGCCUAUCAGCUAGUUGGUGAGGUAAUGGCCCACCAAGGCGACGACGGGUAGCCGGCCUGAGAGGGUGACCGGCCACACUGGGACUGAGACACGGCCCAGACUCCUACGGGAGGCAGCAGUGGGGAAUAUUGCACAAUGGGCGCAAGCCUGAUGCAGCAACGCCGCGUGAGGGACGACGGCCUUCGGGUGUAAACCUCUUUAGUAGGGAAGAAGCGAAAGUGACGGUACCUGCAGAAAAGCACGGCUAACUACGUGCCAGCAGCCGC
rnacentral:rRNA from 1 species